rnacentral:rRNA from 1 species
CGCUGGCGGUGUGCUUCACACAUGCAAGUCGAACGAGGUAGCAAUACCUAGUGGCGGACGGGUGAGUAACGCGUGGGAAUCUGCCUUGAGAUGGGGGAUAACGAGCCGAAAGGCUCGCUAAUACCGCAUAUGCCGAAAGGUGAAAAGGAGUAAUCCGUCUUAAGAUGAGCCCGCGUCCGAUUAGCUAGUUGGUGGGGUAAAGGCCUACCAAGGCGACGAUCGGUAGCUGGUCUGAGAGGAUGAUCAGCCACAAUGGGACUGAGACACGGCCCAUACUCCUACGGGAGGCAGCAGUGGGGAAUUUUACGCAAUGGGGAAACCCUGACGUAGCGACACCGCGUGAGCGAAGAAGCCCUUUGGGGUGUAAAGCUCUGUCAGCUGGAACGAAAAAAUGACGGUACCAGCAGAGGAAGCAUCGGCUAACUACGUG